rnacentral:rRNA from 1 species
CUGUUGCCUCGGCGGGGUCACGCCCCGGGUGCGUAAAAGCCCCGGAACCAGGCGCCCGCCGGAGGAACCAACCAAACUCUUUCUGUAGUCCCCUCGCGGACGUAUUUCUUACAGCUCUGAGCAAAAAUUCAAAAUGAAUCAAAACUUUCAACAACGGAUCUCUUGGUUCUGGCAUCGAUGAAGAACGCAGCGAAAUGCGAUAAGUAAUGUGAAUUGCAGAAUUCAGUGAAUCAUCGAAUCUUUGAACGCACAUUGCGCCCGCCAGUAUUCUGGCGGGCAUGCCUGUCCGAGCGUCAUUUCAACCCUCGAACCCCUCCGGGGGAUCGGCGUUGGGGAUCGGGACCCCUCACCGGGUGCCGGCCCUGAAAUACAGUGGCGGUCUCGCCGCAGCCUCUCCUGCGCAGUAGUUUGCACAACUCGCACCGGGAGCGCGGCGCGUCCACGUCCGUAAAACACCCAACUUCUGAAAUGUUGACCUCGGAUCAGGUAGGAAUACCCGCUGAACUUAAGCAUAUCAAUAAGCGGAG